UACGAAGGGUGCUAGCGUUGUUCGGAAUUACUGGGCGUAAAGCGUGCGUAGGCGGUUUAGCAAGUCGAUUGUGAAAGCCCAGGGCUCAACCCUGGAAUUGCAAUCGAAACUACUUGACUAGAGUAUGGUGGGGGAUAGUAGAAUUCCUAGUGUAGGGGUGAAAUCCGUAGAUAUUAGGAGGAAUACCAGUGGCGAAGGCGACUAUCUACACCAUUACUGACGCUGAGGUACGAAAGCGUGGGGAGCAAACAGG
rnacentral:rRNA from 1 species